rnacentral:rRNA from 1 species
UGCUACUUUGCUGACGAGCGGCGGACGGGUGAGUAAUGCUUGGGAACAUGCCUUGAGGUGGGGGACAACAGUUGGAAACGACUGCUAAUACCGCAUAAUGUCUACGGACCAAAGGGGGCUUCGGCUCUCGCCUUUAGAUUGGCCCAAGUGGGAUUAGCUAGUUGGUGAGGUAAUGGCUCACCAAGGCAACGAUCCCUAGCUGGUUUGAGAGGAUGAUCAGCCACACUGGGACUGAGACACGGCCCAGACUCCUACGGGAGGCAGCAGUGGGGAAUAUUGCACAAUGGGCGCAAGCCUGAUGCAGCCAUGCCGCGUGUGUGAAGAAGGCCUUCGGGUUGUAAAGCACUUUCAGUCAGGAGGAAAGGUUAGUAGUUAAUACCUGCUAGCUGUGACGUUACUGACAGAAGAAGCACCGGCUAACUCCGUGCCAGCAGCCGCGGUAAUACGGAGGGUGCGAGCGUUAAUCGGAAUUACUGGGCGUAAAGCGUACGCAGGCGGUUUGUUAAGCGAGAUGUGAAAGCCCCGGGCUCAACCUGGGAACUGCAUUUCGAACUGGCAAACUAGAGUGUGAUAGAGGGUGGUAGAAUUUCAGGUGUAGCGGUGAAAUGCGUAGAGAUCUGAAGGAAUACCGAUGGCGAAGGCAGCCACCU